AAUUAAGGACUCCUCUUCCCACUUUGAGUCGGUCUCCAGGGCACAUCUUCCGAGCGACUCGCUUUCAAGGAAAUUCGAAAAUUCCACAAUAAAACGUCAAAACAACCCCACUAAUAUUAACACUAGUAGUGAUUAUGCAAAUAAUAAUAAUAAUAUGACAACUCCGGAAAAGGCGCCACGCACCGUCGAGGCUCGAGGGUCUCUUGUAGUUUCAAGUGGCAGCAGGACGACAAAGUCCACACAGAUCAUUCAUGGAAAGCCAUCAUCUUUAUUAAAAUGCCACAGCUAGUACAACACAAGUGUCGAAAGCGGACUUUUCCCAGGGAUCCUCUUCAUCGGUGGACGGUGGGCAUGGGAUGAGGCUCCAUCCAGGUUCAAUCCCAUCCCGGGGUGUUUGGCUCUCCUCUCUUUUCACACACAGUCUGCGCGGGUGCGCCGCUCUUCAUCUCGGUGACUGUCGGACUUGGAAAACAGACUGCUUUCGAUUGAAUACGCUUGACAAAGAAACAUUACAUCGCUCUCUGCAGAGGACUGGCUCAUAAGAGAUGACCUCUAAAUCUAAUCCUAUCCCUGAGGAUAUGCAAAUGUGCUCUGAUCAAAUUUGAUUUGUGUUUUUGUCAGUUCAGGACCGAGCGGUUUGCUUACUACUCUUACACACGCCAACCCAAAGGAUGGCGGUGCACGUAUGAAGCACCGGCGAAUAUGCCAUUUCUAUUCACAGCUGACUUCAGGCUUUGCUCUCAAACGUAAGCCGCAUGCGAUGAAUGAUAAAGUAUAUUUAAAUAUUUAAUUUUCAAGUUCAUGUUUUGAUUCUUUUUAUUCCACUGCGGGAAUCUGUCUCAUUAUUGUUGUCCAACUGCUGUUUUCCAUCGCGAUCGCUGUAUGAUUUGGAUCACGUUCAAGUUAUGUGUUCAUACUUGAGAUUUCAAAAUGCGCCUAAUCUAUUUUUAUUAUUAUUAUUAUUUAUUAUUUAUUUUUUUGAUGAUGGCAUAAUUAUUUUCCGUAUUCUAAGUGAUGGUGUGGUGAACAACACAAAAAUGACAAUCCAGUGGUGGGUCAUAAGAACACUGAAAUGCAGACUAUCACUUCAUUGUGCAUUCAUUUUAUUCUAUGUCAGUGUCUUUGAAAAACUUUGCAUGCCUUUUCUGGUUUAAAAAAAAAACAAUGGAAGAAAAAAAAAUGCCACACAUAAAGUUGCUGCGAUUCCAUCAUUCAAACUUCUGAACUUCUUUUUUGUGGCUUCCUGGAGCACUACGGUGAGAUGAUCUCUCUGUUUCGCAUCAUUAGUUCCAUCUGUUGUGUGAGCGGCCCUGUCUGUUCCGGAGCAUGCCAGUGUGAUGGUCGCUAGGGGCGACUGGAGACGCUACCGUCCGGGCGGCUGGUGGUCUGACCUCGGCCACCAGCACCGCCUUGUCCGUGAUCCUGAUGACACUGAUUUCUGUUUGACUGCUUUAAACUAUUGACUAAAACGGUACAUCUGAGGAAAAU